UUCCAUAGAGUUCUAUCCUCAUUCUGCAAAACAAUUCAUCUAUCAGUUUUUUUUGACGAAUUCUGGAAGUAGAAUAUGCUGUUUCACAUUUAAGGUGAACCAAUCCAGAAGCAGAAUACAAGAACAUUCAUAAAUCAAGUUUCCACUAGCAGUUGUAUGCAACAGCAAUAAGUAUAGAAUGCAAGGCACAAGUACUUUUCUAACAUUGUCAUCAAACGAAGAAAAAAAAUCGGAAAAAAUAGUUUUUUUGAAACAGAGUGAGAGAAAGCCUAUAGCCAUCAAGCAUACCAUCAGUUCAAGUCAUGGAAAUGAUUAACUCCAAUAGAUCUACUGCCCAUUGACUCCCUUCUAUAGAGAUGACAAGGAACCCUAGCAUCUACCUCUUUCGCUCAUAUGCUCAUGACAUAAUAAUGAUUAAAUAUCUAUUCAAUUACUUUUUUUAUUCUGAAUAUAAUUUGUAUUAUUAUUAGAAAUCACACUUAAAAACCAAUUUGUGAUAUUUAAAAUCUUACCCUACCUAUAUUUGUAAAAACACCUAUCAAAGCACAAACUUGAGCCCACUCCAGUUUAUUUGAAUUUUAAUUAGCUAUAUGUUAAAAGUUUACCUAAAUGAUGUGAAAAAUCCGAAACUAUAUAGGCUUCCAAUUUUAUCCCAUACUUCGCAAUUUCUAAUUUUAGUUCAUAAAUUACUUUUUUUUUUUUAAUUAUAUCCAAUGGCUUUACGAUGUUUGCCUAUGCUUAUGUACCAACGAGGGGAACUUCUAACAAGGAAAAAAAAUAAGUAACACGGAAAAUGUGGACAGUUCUUAUGUCCUAGAGCCACAAUACUUGGGAUUUUGCAAAAUAGAAUCUCAAAAUGGCAUUAUAGGCAUCUUCAUGGGGCAGGAGUCACACUAACCAACAGGCAACACAAAAGAAAAUAUAAAACAAAUCAAUUGACAAUGAAACACAAAUCAAAAGAGCAAAGAUAGGGAGCCAAAGUGAAAGGAAAGGGAACAAAUAAUGCCUAUGAUUUAUGAAGAAACAAAACGCAUGAGAAACACAAGGAAUUAUAGCACAAAACUUCUAUGAGAAAGGCUGAAAGCUAAACAAGAGAAGGUGAAAUUGUAGGUUUCAUCGAAACAAGAGAUGCUAGGUAGUGAAUUCAGGGUUUUACAGGACAGAUUGGCUGGCUUUCAUUAGUAAGUGUACAGUUAUUGCACGUUUUAUGGUUUUCAAAUCGCCGGUAAGUUCGAG
rnacentral:misc_RNA from 1 species